CCUACGGGUGGCUGCAGUGGGGAAUAUUGGACAAUGGGGGGAACCCUGAUCCAGCCAUGCCGCGUGUGUGAAGAAGGCCCUCGGGUUGUAAAGCACUUUCAGUGAGGAAGAACGCCUGGUGGUUAAUACCCAUCAGGAAAGACAUCACUCACAGAAGAAGCACCGGCUAACUCCGUGCCAGCAGCCGCGGUAAUACGGAGGGUGCGAGCGUUAAUCGGAAUUACUGGGCGUAAAGCGCGCGUAGGUGGCUUGAUAAGCCGGUUGUGAAAGCCCCGGGCUCAACCUGGGAACGGCAUCCGGAACUGUCAAGCUAGAGUGCAGGAGAGGAAGGUAGAAUUCCCGGUGUAGCGGUGAAAUGCGUAGAGAUCGGGAGGAAUACCAGUGGCGAAGGCGCCCUUCUGGACUGACACUGACACUGAGGUGCGAAAGCGUGGGUAGCAAACAGGAUUAGAUACCCUAGUAGUC
rnacentral:rRNA from 1 species